GUGCCAGCCGCCGCGGUAACACGGGGGGAACGAGCGUUGUUCGGAUUUACUGGGCGUAAAGGGUGCGUAGGCGGGUUGGCAAGUCGGGUGUGAAAUUCCAUAGCUUAACUAUGGACCUGCAUUCGAAACUGUUGAUCUUGAGUACUGGAGAGGUGAGUGGAAUUCUCGGUGUAGCGGUGAAAUGCGUAGAUAUCGAGAGGAACACCGUUGGCGAAGGCGGCUCACUGGACAGAUACUGACGCUGAGGCACGAAGGUCGGGGGAGCAAACAGGAUUAGAAACCCCCGUAGUCC
rnacentral:rRNA from 1 species